rnacentral:rRNA from 1 species
UGGGGAAUAUUGGACAAUGGGCGAAAGCCUGAUCCAGCAAUGCCGCGUGGGUGAAGAAGGUCUUCGGAUUGUAAAGCCCUUUCGACAGGGACGAUGAUGACGGUACCUGUAGAAGAAGCCCCGGCUAACUUCGUGCCAGCAGCCGCGGUAAUACGAAGGGGGCUAGCGUUGUUCGGAAUCACUGGGCGUAAAGCGCACGUAGGCGGAUGUGCCAGUCAGGGGUGAAAUCCCGGAGCUCAACUUCGGAACUGCCUUUGAUACUGAAGAUCUUGAGUCCGGGAGAGGUGAGUGGAACUGCGAGUGUAGAGGUGAAAUUCGUAGAUAUUCGGAGGAACACCAGUGGCGAAGGCGGCUCACUGGCUCGAUACUGACGCUGAGGUGCGAAAGCGUGGGGAGCAAACAGGAUUAGAUACC